rnacentral:rRNA from 1 species
GACGUAGGGCGCGAGCGUUGUCCGGAUUUAUUGGGCGUAAAGAGCUCGUAGGCGGCUCAUUGCGUCAACCGUGAAAACCAGCAGCUCAACUGUUGGCUUGCGGUUGAUACGGGUGGGCUGGAGUUCGGUAGGGGAGACUGGAAUUCCUGGUGUAGCGGCGAAAUGCGCAGAUAUCAGGAGGAACACCGGUGGCGAAGGCGGGUCUCUGGGCCGAUACUGACGCUGAGGAGCGAAAGUGUGGGGAGCGAACAGG